rnacentral:snRNA from 1 species
AUACUUACCUGGCAGGAGAGACACCAUGAUCAAGAAGGUGGUUCACCCAGGGUGAGGCUCGGCCAUUGCACUCCGGUUGUGCUGACCCCUGCGAGUGGGGGGAUGCGUCGGACUGUAGU